AUUGGAAUCCCACGUUGAAGCUGCUUUCAGGUACUAUGCUGUUCACACAUGGAACCAACACCUCAAUGAUCUUGAACGUGCUGUGACUCAAACUGAAGAUCUGUCUCUUCAGUGCCCUUUGCAUUGUUUUUUUUUUUUACUUUUAAUUCGGGUCUUUUCACUUCUGGUCUAAAUGUGCUGUUUUCCUACUUCUUGCCCAUGUAAAGCAGUUGAAUAGCCUUUGUUAUAUACAGCAUAAAGCUGCUACGUUCAAUCUGACAACAGUCCUUCAAAAAGAACUAAAAUAGUUUUUCUGUCUAAAACAACAAUAGCAGGUCUCCUUCAGUGGAACAUUCGCUCUUGCUUCCAUCAUAACGACAUGAUCACCUGAAGCAGACUAACUGUAAACGUUGGUGCCGUUUCUGUGCUCACGUGAACUGACUGCAUUAUCCAACACGCGUCCAACCCGCCACGUCUCACUAUGGAGCCCGUUCUACAGUUCUGAGCGGUGGAGGUGGAACGUGAGCCGCAUCAGCGCGCGCCGCUCGACGCCCAGCGCUCGGCUCUUCUCGGUCCAUCAUCGGCUCUCUUCGGCAUUCCUUGGCAGUCCUCGGCGCGCGCACUCCGUCGAGCAGCAGCACAGGCAGCGGCGGCAGCUGCACGCGCACCUCGACAGAGUGGCUUGAGCAUCCGCAGAGCUCGAGACGAGCGAAGCUGGAGUGACGCCAUGAGCCCGGGCCGUGUGUGAUGGAGGCGACGCUGUGGUAGAAGGCUGUGCCGGGCGAACACCACCAUGAAGCUGCUCUUGGUUCUGACUCUCGUGUGGCGCGGGGUGCUGUGCGGCUCUCCGAGCGUCCAGAUCGGUGGGUUAUUCCCUAGAGGUGCAGACCAGGAGUACAGCGCAUUCAGGGUCGGCAUGGUCCAGUUUGGAAUGGCAGACUUCAGACUGACUCCACACAUAGACAACCUGGAGGUGGCCAACAGCUUUGCUGUCACUAACUGCUUCUGUUCCCAGUUUUCCAGAGGCGUCUAUGCCAUUUUUGGCUUCUAUGACAAGAAGUCGGUUAACACCAUCACCUCCUUCUGUGAGACACUUCACGUCUCCUUCAUCACACCAUCGUUUCCAGCAGAAGGAAUGAAUCAGUUUGUUCUGCAGAUGAGGCCAGACAUCAAGGGGCCACUGGUUUCAUUAGUGGAGUACUACAAAUGGGAGCAGUUCGCCUACCUGUACGACAGUGACAGAGGUCUUUCUACUCUUCAGGUGAUACUGGACACUGCAGCGGAGAAGAAAUGGGCCGUCACAGCCAUAAACGUAGGAAACCUGAAAGAUGAAAGGAAGGAUGAGGCUUAUCGCUCCCUUUUUCAGGACCUGGAGCUACUGAAGCAGCGACGCAUCAUCCUGGACUGUGAGCAAGACAAAGUCAAAGACAUCAUGGAGCAGGUCAUCACUAUAGGAAGGCAUGUGAAGGGCUACCACUAUAUCAUCGCUAACUUGGGCUUUCUCGAUGGUGACCUCUCUAAAAUCCAGUAUGGAGGAGCAAAUGUGUCUGGCUUCCAGAUAGUAGAUUUUGAUGAUCCUGUCGUGGCAAAGUUUGAGAAUCGAUGGGAGGCUCUGGAAGAGAAGGAAUAUCCUGGAGCCGAUACACAAAUCCGAUACACCUCAGCCCUCACCUUCGAUGCCGUCCAUGUCAUGACUGAGGCGUUCCGCUUCCUCCACAAGCAGAGGAUAGACAUGAGUCGCCGUGGCAAUAGCGGGGACUGUCUGGCUAAUCCGGCAGUGCCCUGGGCACAGGGGGUGGAGAUUGAGCGUGCCCUCAAACAGGUGCGUGUAGAUGGUUUAACAGGGAACAUUCAGUUCGACCAGUAUGGAAAGAGGAUAAAUUACUCUGUGACCAUUAUGGAGCUGAAGAACAACGGACCUGUUAAGAUCGGCUACUGGAAUGAGGUGGAUAAGAUGGUUGUGACAAAGUCUGACCUUUACCCUAAUGACACCAUGGGAAUGGAAAACAAGACGGUCAUCGUCACAACUAUCCUGGAAGCUCCCUACGUCAUGCUGAAGAAGAACGCUGAGAGUUUCCAAGACAAUGAACGCUAUGAAGGUUACUGCGUCGACCUGGCUGCAGAGAUUGCAAAGCAUUGUGGGAUACGCUACCAGCUAAAAAUAGUAGGAGACGGUAAAUAUGGAGCAAGAGAUGCAGAAACCAAGAUCUGGAAUGGAAUGGUUGGAGAACUGGUCUACGGGAAAGCAGAUAUCGCGAUAGCUCCCCUGACGAUCACGCUUGUUCGAGAAGAGGUGAUUGAUUUCUCCAAACCCUUCAUGUCUUUGGGAAUCUCCAUCAUGAUCAAAAAGCCCCAGAAGUCCAAACCAGGAGUCUUCUCUUUCCUGGACCCUCUGGCCUAUGAGAUCUGGAUGUGCAUCGUCUUUGCAUAUAUAGGAGUUAGUGUCGUGCUCUUUCUGGUGUCCAGAUUCAGCCCUUAUGAGUGGACCCUAGAGGAGCCGGAGGACGGAGCCCUGCCACUAACCACCGAAUCCACCAAUGAGUUUGGGAUCUUUAAUUCCCUGUGGUUUUCUCUGGGCGCGUUCAUGCGCCAGGGUUGUGACAUCUCUCCAAGGUCUCUGUCAGGCCGCAUUGUUGGAGGCGUGUGGUGGUUUUUCACGCUGAUAAUCAUCUCGUCAUACACGGCCAACCUGGCUGCCUUCCUGACAGUGGAGCGGAUGGUUUCUCCCAUCGAGAGUGCUGAAGACCUGGCCAAGCAGACGGAGAUAGCCUAUGGAACCUUAGACUCUGGCUCCACCAAGGAGUUUUUCAGGCGCUCUAAAAUUGCUCUGUUUGACAAGAUGUGGCAGUACAUGAAAUCUGCAGAGCCGUCUGUCUUCGUCAAGAAGACGUCAGAGGGGGUCCUGCGUGUCAGGAAGUCCAAAGGGAAGUACGCCUACCUGCUGGAGUCCACCAUGAACGAGUACAUCGAGCAGAGGAAGCCGUGCGACACCAUGAAAGUCGGGGGAAACCUAGACUCCAAGGGCUACGGCAUCGCUACGCCCAAAGGAUCCCCAUUAAGGUGGGUGGAUCAGUAUAACAAUGCUAGCCAACCUGCACUGCCGUGUACCAUUCACACUACUAACCUGCUGCCUAGCAUACUGUCUCUCUCCCCAUAUACUGUACAUUAUAAUUCAUCAUUUGGAAAGAGUUCAGCAGCUGCCCGGUCAUUCCUGUGUUGACUGAAGCCACUUAUCUAAAGUAAAGCUUUUAUAGACAACAAGCCAUGGGGAGCGGCGUAGUCCAGUCCCAGGCCUUUGUGCCGUCGGGUGUUGCAGUAUGCAAGUGUGAUGAAUGGGACAUGGCAGCUUACUCGUUGUUAUAAUAAUCCACCUACCCUGAUGACGUCAUCUCAGUGGUUUGUAUUCCUCCAUGGUUACCACCUCUGACCAAUGGCUAGCGGUGGUUGCCGUGAUGACUGGGAGAUACUGUAGCUGUUUAAGUGACAAGUCAGGUCUUAAAGAAAGAGGUCAUCACAUCCAUCAGCACAGCUUUGAUCCUGUUGUGUUAGAGGAGCUUAAAGUGAACAACGUUAACCCAACUGAGUCCAAAUUGGGCAGUUAUGAUGAGCUGUCUUUUUAAGACCUGCAUCAAAGUGUGCUGACGAGUGUGUGUGUGUGUGUGUAUGUGUAUGUGUGUGUCUAUGCACCAUGUCAAUCUGUGUCAUUAACUUUGGUAUAUUCUAAGACAGAACUUAGAUAAAAUAUGUUCAUCGUUAGCUUAACAAGGGCCUGUCCUGUGCAGGUAGCAGCCACAGCCCUGGGUUCGCCCAUCGCAGCCUCUGCGUCCUGAAAGAGUAGUGUUUCCAUACUACACUGUUACUGUUACCUACUAUAAGAACAGUGGAUUCAUAAUAAGAAGGCUGAGAUAUGUUAAGGAAAGAGCAACAUCUCCCUUCAGAAAAAUAGCUCAAAUUGAAGGACACAACCUCUUAGAGCCGUAAACAUGAGCAGUUAUGUCCAUGUUUGCUAUAUUCCCUAUGAAUAGUAGUAACUACUGUAGUACUUUUUUAUGCAACAUUUUUAUAUGUGUGUGUGUGUGUGUGUGUGUGUGUGUGUGUGUGUGUGUGUGUGUGUGUGUGUGUGUGUGUGUGUGAGGGUGAUGCAGAGUGAUUGCAUGUUGGUGUCUAUACCAAUGGCUUCACCUUCCUUCUCUCUCUCCCCAGUGUCUCUGUCAGCUGGUCUGAAUCUAACCUUCUUCUGCAGCUAUGAAUAAUGAUGCUUGCCAUUUUUAGUUAAAGCUUUAUGAAACCACUUUUUUUACCGGUGGUCAGUCACAGAUGAUGUUUGUCAUUUUAAAGGAUUGGCACCCUAAUAAUAUCUAAUCUAACUGAGGGAUUGGGUGGUAACGAUUUACUGACAUUGUUAUAGCAGCUCUAGUGAUUUGACCUGUCCUGUAUUCAGUGACAUGGCUGUUUGCUAUCGUAGCCCUCUGUAGUGGUGGUCAUGGGUGGAACGAGGCUUACUGGAGGCUCAACUGCCCCUCCAGGACAGAGGUUGUCCCCCUGCUUCUCCACAGCUGCUCUGCUGCCCAUCCUGCAGCUUGAUGGUACCUAUCCUGUCCACGACCAAUGACCUGGACCACCUGCAUCCAGCCUCGGCUGAGCAGCGAGCAGCUGUGGGGAGGACCAGGCUUGGCCACCACUGCUUUGGGCCAGAACAUCUCUGACUGACUGCUGUUGUUCUGCAGUAUCAUGGUAGAAUCAGAGACGGGUUCAGUCAUUUCCUUCUUGUGUCUCUGCUUCUAUCACGAACAUUUUGUCAGUGAAGAGAAUAAACAAUGUUAUCAUGUCAAAGGUGGUUUCAGUUCAUCUACAAACCUACAACAGGACCGGCUCCUCAGCCAGUGGACAGUUGAUCUGUUGACAUUACAACCAGUGAAACGUGUUGAACUGAACCAUCUUUGCCUAUUAGUAAUAGUUUAUGUGACAUAACAUUGAAUAUUUUGCAUAAUUACAUAACUAACAUGACAUGUGACAACCAUGUUCACGUUCUGAGGCAUGAACUACCACCAGUAUACCAACACAAUACUUCAUCGCCUCAUCUUACAUCUACAUCUGUAGCAUUGUAGAAAAAGCUCUUCCUCCUGGAAACAGGUUCUAGAAAAGUUACAAAAUGACCUGCUGAGACCAAAUUGGAACAGGACAUUGUCAAGAAUGAUAUCUCGUUGACUUGUUCAUUACAUAUAAAGCAAUAGAGUUUCUGAGUACAUGACCUGUUUUAGUAAGGGAGACAUGGACCACGCUGUGGACCCCCCACCCAGAGCCUGUGUUCGGCUGCAGUAAAACAAAGCGAUGGAAGUCACACAGCACAGACAGUUUGACAUUCUUUCUACUCAAGAGCUGCAUGUUUCUCUGCCAGCUUCUGCCAGGAAAGCGCUAGUAACAGAUGGUAGAGCCUCCUCCUGGUUUAAAUGCAGCCUGUUGUAAACUAGAACAACAGAGGAGGUAAGAUGGCGUCAUACUCCUAUCUGCCCGUGUCGACCAUAGACGUGUCAUCAACCUUUGCGUUGUCAACACCCAGCUUGACCAAGAAUACUUAUCAUGUCUGCUGAGCUCAGUGGAAUUAGCUGCUGUAGUAGUUUUAGCGAUUUGCAGAGUCCAGGACACACGCUGGACACACAACUCCUGGACUCAGACAUGGCCAAAGUCGUACAGGUUCUCAGAUGAAGGUUCUGUUUCUCUGUGAAGGCAACUCGAUAGAGAAAGGGGAGCUACACUGAGCUACACAAAUACAAGUGUCUCGAUGCUAACUGCCCCAGAGUAUUUUACUGGUCUGUCAGAGAAGUGCAGUGCAGUAGUUUGAUGGUCCAUUCCCAUAGUAAGAACACACAGGAUGUUGAUUGGACUGCAGGUCGUCAACCAGGUGACAUUGACCCCUUGCAGAUGUUUUACAGCGGUUCCUCUCUAGCUUAGCCCUGUCAUCCUCCACCAACCUCAGCCAUGGCUCUGCCCAAACAAACUGAAGAACUGAGAUGUACCUUCAGUUGGUUGUUCACAACUAGUCCGAUCAUUUGACCACCACUCACCGGACUAAGACAUUCAUUACUUGUGUCAGCGUUACAUGUAGAGCUACUGGUAAGUGCUGCUGAAGGAGAGCUCAUUUUGGAUAAACCAGACGAGACAAUGUAUUUAUUCUGGCAGAUAACGUGAAACAACAACAGUGUGUUGUACAUGUGAGAUAUAAUUUUGACAUUUCAUCUGCUUUUAAAAAUUUUUAAUAUACUAAAAAAAUUGAGCAGAGAAUUGUGACUUUUAUUUAGAAUUCAUGUGGCUCAAAUGAUUAAGUUGUGCUCUAUUUCCAUGGUUACUUCCUGUAACAUCUAAGAAGCCAUUCAAGUUGUGUGUCUGUUUAAGAGAUAACGCUGCUAACGUGCAUCGGCAGGAGGACCAGCCCCGACAGCACCUGACCUGCUAACAGCCACUGUGUUCAUGUAGAAAUGCGGUGAACCUGGCGGUGUUAAAGUUGAACGAGCAGGGGCUGCUGGACAAACUGAAAAACAAGUGGUGGUAUGACAAGGGAGAAUGCGGCAGCGGAGGAGGGGAGAGCAAGAGUGCCAGUAAACCUUGCCGUAUUGAAACUGAAUGAGCAAGGGACCCUAGACAAGAUGAAAAACAAGUGGUGGUACGAUAAAGGAGAGUGUGGCUUCAAGGACUCCACCAAUAAGG